ensembl:lncRNA novel transcript
UGGGAUUACUGGCGCCUGCCACCACACCUGGCUAAUUUUUGUAUUUUUAGUAGAGACAAGGUUUCGCCCUGUUGGCCAGGUUGGUCUCGAACUCCUGACCUCAGGUGAUCUGCCCGCCUCGGCCUUCCAAAGUGUUAGGAUUAUAGGCAUGAGCCACCGAGCCUGGCCUUCCUCUUAACUCUUAACCUUAAUGCUGUCUUAUUUCUAAGCCCAUUUUCCCUGUAUUCUUUCCCCUUUUUUCUCUGUGUGAGAUCUCUAGAUUCUUCCUCUGUCUUCCUGCAUGUUUACAUUUGCAGACAACUCCAGGAAGGAAAUUGGUAGACUCAACGUCCAGGGAACCUACGAAUCUGCUAUCCCAAGCCUUCUGCCCCCAAACACUUCACCCUGAAAUACAGCCCAGAGCAUGCACUCAGUGAGUCCCACUGAAGAAGAGACGGAAGGCAGAACUGAACAAGAUGUGUCCAGAAGAGGUAGCCAUAGAUCAUGGACAUGACCAAAAGAAGCUUACUUUAUUUUCAACCCUACAACCAUACUGAGAAUUUAGCCCUGGGGACAUCUUCCGAUAUAAUCUGGCAUAGAAGAGUGGUUAUCACACCUUUAGCAUGGGACCCUUGAGACACCUUUGCUGUGAAUAAUGGAGAAGCAAAAGGAGUUACUAAUGAAGACAAACUAAACCUGAGAACAGAGAGAGCCUAACUAUGUGCUCCAGAAGUGCCAUGUGUGUCUAAGGCUGUACAGGAAGCAUGGCACCAACAUCUGCCCAGCUCCUAGGGAGGCCUCGGGGAGCUUUUACUCAUGGUGGAGGGUGAAGCAGGAGCAAGUACAUCAUACGGCGAAAGCAAGAGCAAAUGAAGUUUCGCUCUUCUUGCCCAGGCUGGAGUGCAAUGGCACAAUCUCAGCUCACUGCAACCUCUGCCUCCUGGGUUCAAGCGAUUCUCCUGCCUCAGCCCCCUGAGUAGCUGGGAUUACAGGUUCCUAUAAAGUUCCUGAUAGUUGAAGAAAGUCAGGAGAUCUUAGAAACUGACUUUCAUUUAUAACCUGCUGAUUCACCUAGAUCAGGUUACUGGGAAGAAAUCCAAGUCAGACCUCCUGACCUACUCGAAACAGCAUGAGGAAUUUUGGAAAUACAUCUGGUGCUUCCAGUGACUGUAUAAUAAUCAAUGUAUCCUGACUCUAAAGAAAAGCAGAAGUGAAACUGAAAGUACAGACUACAAGGUGGAAUAUGAUCCCUCUACUAUCAACUAAAAGUCUUAGACUUGCUACCCUUCUGAAAAUGGUUCUGAAGGGGCCCAGGAAGAAACCUCCUCUUCCCCAGCUGAGUUGAGAACCAAGUGGAAGACAAAGAAGUUAGACAGCAGAUGAAAAAGUGACCUGCCUUGCACCUUGCCAGUUGGCUUGCUAGCUCUCCCCUGAUUUGAACUUCUGACAACAGAACAUGCUCCACCAAACUUACCAUGUGAAGGACAGCACAUGGGCAUUCUUUCUGAGACCUGCAAAGAAAACAAAGGGAGAGGCUAAGCAGACAAAGGAAAACUCUUUCUUCUCAAAUCAAUCAGAUAAUGAACUCCUGUUCCCUUUAGGAGAAAUGAGUGGGUGGGGAGAGAAAAGCAAGCAGUUGACCUCUGGAGGUCCUUAGACUUAAAAACAUAAAGCCCAAGGAAGAAAAUUCCUCCCCAGCAUUAACUUGGACCAGUAAUGUUUUUCUAUUUAUAUUCCAUAUGUAAAUAUGCCUGUGAGGUAUUAUGUAUUGUCUUUGUGCCUUUAAGUGCAUUUCUUUAAAAAAUCUGUAACUUUAAACUUAAAUAGAAAGGCACAAAAUGGAUUGUUAUUUUAUACAAUGGAGUUCUGAUAUUAAUUAUUGUUACUUCUCACAAAACA